UUCACUUAACAACUGUGGUGAGAAAAGUCAUGAAAUAGGGCAAAACUCAAUUGUUUCACUUAGCAACAGAAAUUUUGAGCUCACUUAUGGUCAUAAGUCAAGGAUUACUUAUAGAAAGUUAUUCUGUAGUAUUUUUUCCUAUGAAGCACAAGUUUACUCUUUGAUUACCAAAGCCUCAAAAUUGGACAAUUCUGGGAGUUGAAGUCCACAUACCCUCAUGAGGCCAAGUUUGGGAAACACUGAUCUAGACUCACAGUUAAAAAUAUAAAUCAGAAGAAAACUACAGUUCUCUCAGGGUGACUUUCAUUCCUUUGGCUUUCCUUCACUGCAACCCAGAUCUGCCAUCCAUCCGUCAGAAUUCCCACCACCACGAAAUAAAAUAAAAUAAAAUAAAAUGCUUGAUGUGGAAGCUGUUAACUUGCAAAACAGCAAAUCAGCCCAUUCUGCAAAGCUGAGGUGGAAUUCAAAAUUCAAACCAGCCUCCUGGGUCCCAUUUCAGCACAUUCAAACCCCAAAGCAAGCUUUUAGAAAGCUUCCUCAGACUGAAUAGUCCAUAGGUACUUCGAGGGUGGGAGAGAAACAGGAGGAGAAAGCAGAGUUUCUGUUUUAAGCCAGAGAUAUUAAACGAUUUGUUUUCGUUGAAAGGCUAGCUCCAGUCUUGUGACUCCUUAUUUACUAUUCUGGUAACUGUGGCUGCAUCUGCAACUGAUAGUGUUUCCUCAGAGAGAUCAGAUUCCGCUGGCCGCUCGCCAGCAGGCAUGUGACUGCAGCGAAGGGAACCCUCCGUGCCAGAUAUAGAAGCAAUUUGCACAAAACACUAGGCAGAGGAUUAACUGGCCAAGGGCGGGUGGACAGUCUGCUUUGCAUUUCUUCCUGGCUCUCUCAGGAUAGGCGAGUGGCAGGCAUUGAUUCCUUCCUCCUCAAACAGCUUCACAGGGCAUAGCCAGAGAUUAUGUAAGGGCCAAAGCACGUCACAGACUGUUUCAAUUCUUUCUUUACAUUUGCAUUUUGACAGUCUCUGGGAAAUCUCUUUGCCUCCUUUUCUGAGGAAGGUCCAAUCAAGGCAGGGUGGCCACUACUCAGAAAAGAGAGUGGGUGUGGAAGGGACAAGGUCACCGCUGGAAAAAGGAAGCUACGCACACCCAAGAAGAGGAACUGGGAUGAAAGGACAAAGGAUAAUUAUAGAAGCACACAUUGAAGAAGAAAAACCCCAAAACAGAACGUGGCAAGCACACUAAAACUACCAUUCCAGUAACUUCUACACAAUGUCAAGACACUAUGGCUUCAGGAAGAAAGAAAAAAGUAUCUCAGAAGUCAGCAGGCAGAACAAAAGGGAAAUUCUUGGCAGUGGGAUCCUGCCAGCCCUGCGUCUCUAGAGAAAACUGGUCUUCAAAAUUUCCUCUGUAGCAUUAGCUGGGCUGAAAGUUAAUUAGCAGAAGCCUUCAGAAGCCAAAGGGAUCAUGGGAACGCAGGGAUGUAGCAGUAAACCAGAUUGGCAUUCUUUAGCUUUCCUAUGUGGAAGGAAUUAUGUGACACUAAAAAUUAAUACACUGACAGUCUCCAGUGACAGACUGAUUGUUUCCACACAACCCUAGUCCUAGCUCUACAUUCCAAGGUGAUAAGGGAUUUAGAAAGGGGAAAAGUCUCCUUUAAAAAUCAUGGCUAUACCUGCAAACAUGGCUCAAAUCAAAGGCAUCAAGCGACGAUUCUGGCUUCAAAAGGACUGGCCAAGGGAAGAAUUCAAGGGCUGCACUUAAAUAAAGUAUUUUUUGUUAUGUUGCAAUUCCACUGCAUAAAGACUGUAGCAAAUAUGAGAUGGCCUUGUGAAACGCUGUGCCAUUGUGCUGUGCACACCUAACUAUCUACGCUUGGAUUGUGUUGACCCAUCAAAGUCUGUUCAGCCCUAAAAGUAGCUCUCCAAUCUCUCAAGCAAACUAAAAUAUAAAAUCCUUUGAACAGGAUAUAACAAGAACAGAAGCUGGGACUGCACAUACUUUCUGCUCUAUUCCUAAAUAAUGGCCCCCAUCAGGCCCUCUUCUGCUUUUCACUACCUAGAAGCUGAUGGAAACCAUCCUCAAAGCGCCAAGUCUGUUCCGAGCCUUAGAGGAAGACACCACAGAUCAUCUGAUUUCUUGAAACAGGACAUUCAGGGUUUCAAGGUUCAGAUUUUAAGAGGAAGCAAAUAAAAGGAAGAAUCAAAUAAGAAAUCAAAUAAAAAUAAGAAUCCAAAA